rnacentral:lncRNA from 1 species
UCCAUCUUCUUCAUCAACAUGGGAGCCAUGAUCGGGUGUAGAGUGUGGAGGGGUGUUGUGUACAAAGGUGCUGUGUAGAGGGAUGCUGUUCAUGCAUACUUCUGGACCAACAGGCACAACUUUGAAUUUAGGACAAUCUUUAACAAUAUUCCAACAUUCCCACCGGGUGAAUGAUUUGUUUCUUGAUUUGAUUUUGGCAGCAUACCAUGCUUGUGCUUGAAGUUGCUACAAAUAAUAAUAUUGAAAUUAUUAGGUAACAAAUAAAUAAUACAAACAAAUAAUAAUAAUGAAAUUAUUAGGUAACAAAUAAAUAAUACAAACAAAUAAUAAUAAUGAAAUUAGGUCACAAAUAAAUAAUACAAACAAAUAAUAAUAAUAAUGAAAUUAGGUCACAAAUAAAUAAUACAAACAAAUAAUAAUAAUAAUGAAAUUAGGUCACAAAUAAAUAAUGCAAACAAAUAAUAAUAAUGAAAUUAGGUCACAAAUAAAUAAUGCAAACAAAUAAUUAUAAUAAUGAAAUUAGGUAACAAAUAAAUAAUACAAAUAAAUAAUAAUAAUGAAAUUAUUAGGUAACAAAUAACUAAUACAAACAAAUAAUAAUAAUGAAAUUAUUAGGUAACAAAUAAAUAAUACAAACAAAUAAUAAUAAUGAAAUUAGGUCACAAAUAAAUAAUGCAAACAAAUAAUAAUAAUAAUGAAAUUAGGUAACAAAUAAAUAAUACAAACAAAUAAUUAUAAUCAAAUUAGGUAACAAAAUAAUUAUACAAACAAAUAAUUAUAAUAUAUUCUUACCUCAUCCGCAUAAUUUGCCCCACUUCGAACAUUACUACUAGCUUGUGUCAAUGCAUCUCUCCACGUACUAAAGGAAUGGCUAAGUAUUUUCCAACGACUGGACAUCGAUUCUUUGGUUCUUUU